rnacentral:snoRNA from 1 species
GUUGAGGUCUGUCCCAUAGGGCUUUUUCUGUAGACUCAAAUCAUUUGAAAUGCCUCAUUGAGAAACUCUGUUGAUGGCUUUACUCACAGAACUAUGUGUUAAAUCUGUGGAAUGAACUAGAAGGCAGAG